CAGAGCUUUCCUUCUGAAAAUCUCACAGCAUAUUUGAUAUUUUUUUUCCGUUUGAGCUCAUCAUCAGGUGCGGAGGUUUCUGUUUCCUCUUUAUCACAAGAGAGGAAGUUAACCAGCUUUUUCUACCAAAGCUUGAUCAGUCUCUUGACUUCUCAAAGACAACAGAGAGGUGUGGGUGUGGUGUUAGGGGGAGAGAAGAUAAGAGAGAAGAAGUUAAUUUGGUCCUGCAAGAACUAGUGCUGCUCAAACAAAGGGGGUGGUGUG
rnacentral:misc_RNA from 1 species